UAAUAAUUUUUUUUAUUUUUAGGUAGAUUUUUCUAAAGACGUCUGAAACAUUUGUGGUGGCAUCAUUGCAGCUAUAGCCUCUAAAAAAGACCUUGAAUAACCAAAGUGCUAGAAUCGUUACAUUUCAAUGGCUUCACUCUGUUAGUAACAAUUGUACAUCAAAAAUCUGCUCAGGUGAAAACACAUAAACAAAAUUGACAAAAUUGAUAGUUCAACCAUAUCAAACACAGCGAAUUCAGAAGUGUUACAUUUUCAGUGUUAGUGAAAUUUGAGCAAAAGUAGAGUUAAUUAUACUCUGAUAGAGUUACAUCCACUAUAUUUGACUUCAGUUGAUAAGUAGUUGGUGUCAAAACCAAGUGUAAAGACAAAGUGUCAUUAAAUUAAACCUGUAAGUGUAAUUUUAUAAAUAUUGACUCUGAACUUCUCUCUAAACUCCGAUCCUCCGUUUACAAAUUGCUGACAAUUACAUACAUUUUUGUUAAGAGUUAAGUAUUAUUGUUUUGUGACCUCUUAAACCUUUAGAUUCUCUCAAUGACAAAUGACUAACAUGAAAUAUUUUCUAAAGACUGUCUGUCUAAAGACUUUAAAAAAUACAGUUCUUUGCUGGCAAAGGUGGAAGAUGGAGGAGUCACAAAGUAUAUCAAAGUUCCACAAACAGAUGAAAACUUUGAUUCCAGCCAGUUUCUUCAAGAAGGUUUAAUGCUGCACCAGAUGGGGUGGAAUCAACUCGUGACUGUCCUUAGCUUGACUGACACAUCAGAUACUGAAGUUGAUGCAGACAUAUUUGAUGAGCUUAUCAAAUCAGGGGUGCGAAACUUCAAAGUUGGAUACCGCAAGCACCCAGUAACCGGAACACUUCUAUGAUCCUGAGGCCAAUUCUGGCUAUCUUGCCUGGAGACUCAAGACGGUCCAACACAACACCUAUGGUGUCCGUGGGCAUUCAAGACCUAAUUUCCAGGACAGCCCAACAAUCCAGCGAGAAUCUCUGGUAAUUGGUGAACAGCUCUUUGCUGAGGAAUGCAAAGGGGCUCUCUCUAUAAUGAGACACUCAACAGAUACAGCCCUGGUUGAAGAGAAGAUGAGAGCCACCUUUGCAUACAGACAGAAGCUGGUUCGUGACCAGGAUGCAACGGCUUCAGUGUUGGAUGUCUUCCCUAAGGAUAAGGAUAUGUAGAGAUUAUUACUAGUAUUAGGAACUAUUUGAAAACGGAUUCCUUCAAAAUUCAAAAUGUACUUAAAUGACUUUUAUAUGGUGUUGUGCCUCUGUUUAAAGAUUGAACAGGAUUUUUCCAUGAUGUUUGGGGACCAUGUAUCUGCAACGUUUCUGGAAAAAUGGCCUUCAUUCAAGCAGAAAAUCAUUGCAGAAUGACAGAGUCUUCCCUCAAGUCCUCAUGUUGAGGAGCUGCACACAGCUUUUGACCUUGAGGCGGAGAAUGACUAUGCUGUCGUUUCAGGCAAAGCGCUCGACCCUCCUC